rnacentral:rRNA from 1 species
GUGCCAGCAGCCGCGGUAAGACAUAGGUGGCGAACGUUAUCCGGAAUUAUUGGGCGUAAAGGAUGCGUAGAUGGUAGAAUAAGUUAUUGGUCGAUGCCAAACUCAAUUUGGCGGAAGCUGGUAAUACUGUUCAGCUAGAGGGCAGGAGAGGUUGAUGGAAUUCUGUGUGGAGCGGUGAAAUGCGUUGAUCUGCAGAGGAACACCAAAAAAGGCGAAGGCAGUCAACUAUUCUGUUCCUGACAUUGAGGCAUGAAAGCGUGGGGAGCAAACCGGAUUAGAUACCCUUGUAGUCC